CUGGCCUUGACAUGCAUAUAGUAGAAGGGUGAAAGCCUGACGAGGUAGCAAUACCAGUAUGCACAGGUGCUGCAUGGCUGUCGUCAGCUCGUGUCGUGAGAUGUUGGGUUAAGUCCCGCAACGAGCGCAACCCUUGUGUCCUGUUGCCACCCGGCCGAAAGGCUGGAGCACUCGGGACAGACUGCCUCGCUUAAACGAGGAGGAAGGUGAGGAUGACGUCAAGUCAGUAUGGCCCUUACGGCCAGGGCUGCACACGUACUACAAUGCCCGGCACAAAGGGAAGCAAGAUCGUAAGAUGGAGCAAAUCCCCAAAAACCGGGCCCAGUUCAGAUCGUCGUCUGCAACUCGACGGCGUGAAGUUGGAAUCGCUAGUAAUGGCGCAUCAGCUACGGCGCCGUGAAUACGUUCCC
rnacentral:rRNA from 1 species